UCUCACUGCGCUUUGGAGAGUGAGCCUUUGUGACUCCGCACUCUUGGACAGUAGCAUCCAACAACAUAGGAUACUUAGGGGAGGGAAAGGAAAAGAGGCAGCCGCCCAGAAAAGCCCAAAAGCCCAGAAAAAUAAAGCACAAAGCUGCACCAUUUGGAAGAAGCAAGACUGUCUUUCCUCACAGCUACGAUGCUACACCGCUUUCGACAGAGCCUGCUUUUCCCUCCAUUUACCUGGGCGGCUGCUGCUCUUUCUGCUGCUGCUGGGGCUGCUGCUGUCUGGCUGCCUGCGCUUCGCCCUGGCUUGGCUGACUCGAAACUCUCUCGUCUGCACAUUGCUAAAGGAAGAUGAGUGAUGGAGCCGCGUAUUUUUUUAUUGGUUCUGGAAGCCAAGGGUUGCAAUAUGUGAUGAUUUUGGGGUUUUCUGCUGCGGGGGAGAGGGAGGAGAAAGGAAGGGUGUUAAUCGAGGAUAGGGUGGGUGAAAGCUUAAAGAAAUAUUAUGUAAAGUAAUCCAGUGCUCGACAGGGGCAUCAGCAACAAGAAUUCAGCCUCUGCUGUUCCAGAGGAUUAACAUGGGGAAGUCACAAUGCUGCAGUCGGGUUUCACCUCAGUGUUGUGCUGGAGAUGGAUAAAUAAGGUAUCGGUUGCAUCUGCCUGUUAAGGCAAAGCCAAGGGAGAAGGAGAGAGCGAGAGAAUGCAAAUGCAAAGGAAGAAGAAAUGCUACGUGCCGUUUGUCUGAUUCUGUGGAUUCUCACUGCAGAGAGGAUGGCUUGAUUAACAAAGCAAUGUAUGGACAGAGGGACUGUAAAUUGUAGCUUGAGCACUCCUGGUGCUGUCAGGGAGUGAAAUGAUGAGUUAGGUGGCUGCAGGAAUAUCCCCAGGGGAAACAGCAGCCUUGCACUCUGUGUGUAUAUCUGUGUAUGUACGUGCUUUUGUGUGUGUGUGUGAACAUGUACAGAAAUGAAAGAAAGGCAUUUCUGACCAAUUUACAGAGAACGUUUGUCAGCUUGCUGGGUCAGACUUGAUUGCAGCUUGUAUUUUCUGCUCUAGCUCUACACCCAUUUCCUGAUUGAGGUGGCACUUUGUGAAAACAGAUGGUAGGCAGUAUUCUUUUAAGAAAUGUGUAAGCAGAUCCUUUCCGCUUAACACCUUGAAGCACUGAGUCUUCUGUACUGUGCUGAGAGAAACCGUGGGGUUUCGUUUUCUCUGUCUUAAAAUCUCUAUAAACACAGCUGUAUUCAGUAUGGUGAAAAAUUCUGUACUGUAAAUAGAAAUGUGAUCAAUCUAAUCAAAAUAAAUGCAUCCCAGAUGACUUCUAGACCAGCUGGCUACCACAGUCAUCAGAUGACUAAAUCCUCAACUGAGCAUUUGUGUUCGGUGUUAUACUUGCAUCUUUUUAUUUUUCCCUUUUUUUUCCCUUAGAUUUUCAAAAUCUGCCUUUAAUUGAAAAGGAUUCUUCAUAUAUUGAGAAAAGGCAAUGCUUGCAUUUGGCAAUCGAUUUCUGUGAAAUGUAGCUGGGUGUCUUUUUUAUUUUGUAAUCUGCUUGGGGUGGUUUUAGAGCAGAUAGACUUGUCAUAGUACAGGCAUAUUUCAUUUGGAAGGUAGCUCAGCUUGGCCAUAUCUGAACAAUGGAGAAACAGGGAAAACAAGCACUGCACUCAGCUAGCAGGGCUUGGCAUGCAUGGAUUGUAGCAGCUGCUUACCAAGAAAGACGGGUUUUUUUCCUUUCCUUUUUUUCAUUUUUAUACAAAGCCAUAGACUAUAAUGUCAUACUAAAAUGUGUAUGAGGGAUUUCCCAAUAGUCACAGUGAACUACCCUUCAAGGCACCCGUCUGGUCCUUCCACUAUCUGUUUUCCAGCCUACAAAGGCAGUCCUAUGUGCUGAAUUGUAUUUAGCCAGCUGUUGAAUAGCAUUCUUGUGCUGGGGGCUAAGGAGUCUUAUUACUCCCAAACUGUAGUUUUCUGUUUGCUUAAAGAAAAAUAACUUUGGCAAUACAGCAGUCUCUGCAAACGAGUUUAUGCCACUCCUAUACCUUUCUGAAUCUGUUGUGUGCUUGUAACUCCGGCAGUUUGAAGCGAGCAAGGAGGGAGGAGGAGAGACUGAACUUGCAGCUUCAAAGCUGCAGAGACGAGCAAAAUGUCAGCAGCUUGUAAUUAGGAGCCCACGGUUACGUCAGUGACUGUAUCUCUCCAAGAACUGCUAUGUGAUGUGUGCCACAAAGCAAAGGAAGACUCUCACAACCUGGUUAACAAGCCUGGCUCAAACAAGAAAGAGCAAAAUGGAUUAAUGAAAUCUGCUGUUUUCCUAAGUCAUAUGUGGAUGGAUUAUAUGUACAAGGUUUGCUGAAUUCUGCAGCAGUCAAGACUGAAUUAUGGCACGAAUUCACCAAAAGUGCAAAUCCUUCAGGAAAAAAUGCAGAUGAGCAGUCUAUUCUUGAAAAUUUCUUUUCUAGCUCUGUCCUGUGCAGGCAGCUAGCUGCAUGACAUGGAGGCAUGCACUGAAGGAAGAGACCGGUGAGCUGCACAAAGGUGUUUAAAAGGAAGGGUGAAAUUAAACACAAAGCAAGCCUGCUGAAAUUCUAUUCUGGCAUUACAGAUUUGAUACUGAAAUACCACCCCAGAGGAGAAUCGGCUGGGCUCUGAUGUGGUUUAUAUUAAGGCUUCUCUGGUUAAGAUCGAGGGGGGAGGGACAGGGCUUCCUGCAGCAUCUUGUAGCCAUGCAGAAGUCCCCAGGGCUGUGGGAAGCAGGAGGGAUGGGCGUGCUCUUAAAGACACAUGCCCAGAUCCUGCCAAGCGGCUUUCUGACCUCUACAAUUAUUUUUAGGUCUGUGAAGGCAACUCGGCAGUGCUUAAGCAGUGAGAUUGCAGGGGGUGUUUAAUCUGCUGCGACUGGCCUUUCUCUGUGUCAUGGCUGGGAAAGGUUUAUAGGGCUUUUAUCAACACCCCUCCACCACAUCCAGCAUGCACGUCUGUCGCUGUUCCCAAAGACCAGUUACUGAAGGUCUGGUGUGCUUCCCUGCUCUCAGCAGAAGUCACUUGCAGUUCAACAACUCUGUUGUAGUUGCUCUUUAAUUUACCAGGAUAGGUAGAUUGUGUUAUACAAACAGUGGGGGGGGGUGUUUUUGGUUUGCUUUUGGUUUGGAUUUUUUUUUUUUUUUUGGACUGUGAACAAAAAUUUGUAGGAGGAGAUGACUGUAUAUUAAACCAAUAGCUCUUUGAA